rnacentral:rRNA from 1 species
GGGGAAUUUUCCGCAAUGGGCGAAAGCCUGACGGAGCAAUACCGCGUGAGGGAGGAAGGCUCUUGGGUUGUAAACCUCUUUUCUCAGGGAAGAACAAAAUACCUGAGGAAUAAGCAUCGGCUAACUCCGUGCCAGCAGCCGCGGUAAUGCGGAGGAUGCAAGCGGUAUCCGGAAUUAUUGGGCGUAAAGCGUGCGCAGGUGGCAGUUCACGUCUGCUGUCAAAGGUCAGGGCUCAACCCUGAACAGGCAGUGGAAACUGAACAGCUAGAGGGCGGUAGGGGCAGAGGGAAUUCCCAGUGUAGCGGUGAAAUGCGUAGAGAUUGGGAAGAACUCCGGUGGCGAAAGCGUUCUGCUAGGCCUGCACUGACACUCAGGGACGAAAGCUAGGGGAGCGAAUGGGAUUAGAUACCCCAGUAGUC